rnacentral:rRNA from 1 species
GAUGAACGCUGGCGGCGUGCCUAAUACAUGCAAGUCGAGCGAACGGACGAGAAGCUUGCUUCUCUGAUGUUAGCGGCGGACGGGUGAGUAACACGUGGAUAACCUACCUAUAAGACUGGGAUAACUUCGGGAAACCGGAGCUAAUACCGGAUAAUAUUUUGAACCGCAUGGUUCAAAAGUGAAAGACGGUCUUGCUGUCACUUAUAGAUGGAUCCGCGCUGCAUUAGCUAGUUGGUAAGGUAACGGCUUACCAAGGCAACGAUGCAUAGCCGACCUGAGAGGGUGAUCGGCCACACUGGAACUGAGACACGGUCCAGACUCCUACGGGAGGCAGCAGUAGGGAAUCUUCCGCAAUGGGCGAAAGCCUGACGGAGCAACGCCGCGUGAGUGAUGAAGGUCUUCGGAUCGUAAAACUCUGUUAUUAGGGAAGAACAUAUGUGUAAGUAACUGUGCACAUCUUGACGGUACCUAAUCAGAAAGCCACGGCUAACUACGUGCCAGCAGCCGCGGUAAUACGUAGGUGGCAAGCGUUAUCCGGAAUUAUUGGGCGUAAAGCGCGCGUAGGCGGUUUUUUAAGUCUGAUGUGAAAGCCCACGGCUCAACCGUGGAGGGUCAUUGGAAACUGGAAAACUUGAGUGCAGAAGAGGAAAGUGGAAUUCCAUGUGUAGCGGUGAAAUGCGCAGAGAUAUGGAGGAACACCAGUGGCGAAGGCGACUUUCUGGUCUGUAACUGACGCUGAUGUGCGAAAGCGUGGGGAUCAAACAGGAUUAGAUACCCUGGUAGUCCACGCCGUAAACGAUGAGUGCUAAGUGUUAGGGGGUUUCCGCCCCUUAGUGCUGCAGCUAACGCAUUAAGCACUCCGCCUGGGGAGUACGACCGCAGGGUUGAAACUCAAAGGAAUUGACGGGGACCCGCACAAGCGGUGGAGCAUGUGGUUUAAUUCGAAGCAACGCGAAGAACCUUACCAAAUCUUGACAUCCUUUGACAACUCUAGAGAUAGAGCUUUCCCCUUCGGGGGACAAAGUGACAGGUGGCGCAUGGUUGUCGUCAGCUCGUGUCGUGAGAUGUUGGGUUAAGUCCCGCAACGAGCGCAACCCUUAAGCUUAGUUGCCAUCAUUAAGUUGGGCACUCUAAGUUGACUGCCGGUGACAAACCGGAGGAAGGUGGGGAUGACGUCAAAUCAUCAUGCCCCUUAUGAUUUGGGCUACACACGUGCUACAAUGGACAAUACAAAGGGCAGCGAAACCGCGAGGUCAAGCAAAUCCCAUAAAGUUGUUCUCAGUUCGGAUUGUAGUCUGCAACUCGACUACAUGAAGCUGGAAUCGCUAGUAAUCGUAGAUCAGCAUGCUACGGUGAAUACGUUCCCGGGUCU